rnacentral:rRNA from 1 species
GACAUCGUGGCUGUGCAAGAGACCAUGCGUCGCGAUUUUGCGCUCCCUGAGCUUGACCGGCUGAGCUCUCACCUCUUUGCGUGGCACUGGCUCCCUUCUAGUGGGAGCGCGGGCCACUCGGGUGGCAUCCUUUUAGGUGUGAAGGAUGCCACCUUUGAGGUGGGCAGCAUGGAUAGGGGCGAAUUCUUCGUCAGCAUGGAGCUUUUCGAGAGGUCGCUCAACUUCAAGUGGGAGAUCAUCAUUGUCUAUGGACCGGCCGAUCAUAGUAGGUCGGCCUCCUUCUUGGAGGAGCUCCACCAGAAAAUCUCGGCCGCCUCCCUCCCCGUGGUUGUCGGGGGCGACUUCAACCUGCUGCGC